UAUGAUGAGUUUGUCAGCCGAUCCAAAU
rnacentral:sRNA from 1 species